GUGUCAGCCGCCGCGGUAAUACGUAGGGAGCGAGCGUUGUCCGGAAUUACUGGGCGUAAAGGGUGCGUAGGCGGCAUGGCAAGUCAGAUGUGAAAUCCCCGGGCUUAACUCGGGAGUUGCAUUUGAAACUGCUGUGCUUGAGUGCAGGAGAGGAAAGCGGAAUUCCUAGUGUAGCGGUGAAAUGCGUAGAUAUUAGGAGGAACACCAGUGGCGAAGGCGGCUUUCUGGACUGUAACUGACGCUGAGGCACGAAAGCGUGGGGAGCAAACAGGAUUAGAUACCCUGGUAGUCCACGCUGUAAACGAUGGAUACUAGGUGUGGGGGAGAUACAACCUCCGUGCCGCAGCAAACGCAAUAAGUAUCCCGCCUGGGGAGUACGGUCGCAAGGCUGAAACUCAAAUGAAUUGACGG
rnacentral:rRNA from 1 species